UUCAUGAGUCAUUCAAUCAUUUGUGAGACUGUAGCCAUCUGACCGUGGAUGAGAAGAAUUCAGACCCAAUGCCAGUGAGGAGGAGCUGGUGAAAAAUGAAGAUAAUUCUGGGAAGAGACUGCAGCCCUGGGCUGUGAGGUGGACCUGGGCUGAAGUCACAGGUGGAAGGAGCUUGCUGGAACCUCUGUGUUUUUACAACAUAUACACCAUGGAAAGGAGCCAGGACCAGCCUGCUGGAGCAUGUGGCCCAUGAGAGAGGCCAUCCAGGAACAACCAACUCAGUCAAUGUGUCAGCUGACCAAGGCUGCCUGAGCAAGCCAGGGAAGAUCAGCAGAAGAAUCACCCAGCUGAACCCAACCCAAACGGCAGACCCUCAGAAUGAAAAGAUGUUCUAUCUGAAAACAGUCUACACCUAGAUCAUAGGAUGCUUCCAAGAGAAGGUGGAAUGAUUUAGAACACAGACUACAAGCAAUCUUUGGAUUAGAAAGAGAUACCUGUAUUGGGUCAUAAUGUUUAUAAAUAUGUAUUUCCCAAAGUAGGUAUUUGUUUGCUUGUUUGUUUUGAGACAGGGUCUCACUCUGUCACCCAGGCCGGAGCACAGGGGUGCCAUAUGCUGCAGCUGCCACCUCCUAGACUCACUCAACCCUCUCACCUCAGCUUCCUGAGUAGCUGGGACUACAGGUGUCUACCAUCAUGCCUGGCUAAUUUUUGUAUUUUUUUGUGGAGAUGGGGUCUCAUGUUGUCCAGGCUGGUCUCAAACUCCUGGGCUCAAGCAAUUCACCUUCUUUGGCCUCCCAGAGUGCUGGGAUUACAGGCAUGAGCCACUGCAUGCUGCAAAAGUAGACAUUUAAAGAGCAUAUUGUUUUGUCAAAGAUGAUGGCAGCCCCAAGACACCGUGCAUACAUUAAAUGUAGAGCACUUAAUUACAUAAUGUCUUGGCAGCAUACAGGAGAUCAAUUCUGUCUCAGAACAAACCCUUCUUCUCAGGAAGUGGUGCUUCAUUCUCUUUCUUCAGUGUGAGCCAAGGACCAGCUACUGGAAUUGAUGACAUGAAGAACUGACUGCAUCCAUCAGAUUCUACACUGGUACAAUUCAUGCAUGGCAUGCACUACUUCAGAAAGAAUGACAGACCGGGCGCGGUGGCUCACUCCUGUAAUCCCAGCACUUUGGAAGGCUGAGGUGGGUGAAUCACCUGAUGUCAGGAG